CCUGGGGAGUACGCCCAAGGUUAAAAUUCAAAUUUGGGGGCCCCACAGCGGUGGAGCAUGUGGUUUUAUUGAUGCAACGCGAAGAACUUACCUGGCCUUGACAUCCAGAAUUUUAGCAGAGAUGCUUUAGUGUCGGGAACCGUGAGACAGGUGCUGCAUGGCUGUCGUCAGCUCGUGUUGUGAAAUAAGUCCCGCAACGAGCGCAACCCUUAUCCUUUGUUGCCAGCGAUUCGGUCGGGAACUCAAAGGAGACUGCCGGUGAUAAACCGGAGGAAGGUGGGGAUGACGUCAAGUCAUCAUGGCCCUUACGGCCAGGGCUACACACGUGCUACAAUGGCGCAUACAAAGAGAAGCGACCUCGCGAGAGCAAGCGGACCUCAUAAAGUGCGUCGUAGUCCGGAUUGGAGUUUACUCGACUCCGGAAAGUCGGAAUUUUUU
rnacentral:rRNA from 1 species